GAGCCCAAAAAGAAAUUAAAAAGGCCUAAUGUAUGACCUCAUAUGUGAAAAUCAAAAUGUUUAACAGUCUUGACUAUAUUAAAAAGUAAUGAAAAAUUCAAAAUCCUCUUAUGUUUUUACAAUCCUAAAACAUAUUUCUCAUAUCCCACAUCACUAGGAUUCAUCCUAACAGGACUUUGAUUUGGCUUCCUGUGUAUUAUAUAAUUGUAAUCUUAAAAGGGCAUUUUAGAUAUUGUUUUUAGCUUCGUCAUGGGAAUGGCAGUGCCCCCAAACCCUCUUGUGUAAAUCAGAAAAUAUAGAUGAAGAAAUAUUGUCAGGAUGCACAUUUUCUCAGUGCCAUGUGGGAGAAUUAAUACAUCAGCAGCCACCAACUUAGAUAUUAAGGAGGAGAAUGUGUUUUGCAACUCUGGCAUGCUCAGGAAACGCCGUUGAAAAGUUUCCAGGAAAUGUUGGUAGAUCCAGAUUUCAGACACUGUCAUGACAGUUGAAAAAGAAAAGCAACUUCAUACAGGUAUUAUCAAUCACAGUCAAGGAUUAUGGACCUGAAGAAACAAUAUCUGGCAGAAAGACAAGACAUACUAACUUUCUACAAGCAACUGGUUUAAACGUCAGUGGAGAAAGUGUCCUACAGUAUGAACUCACACAUUUCACACAAAAUAUUUUCUCCCUUGGAAAGAGAAGAUUUAUAAAAUGCCUUGGAGUAAAUAUGAGACCCAAGCAUGGAAGAAAUCAACUUAAAUUACUUGUUUAAUUACUAGGAAUUGCUAGGAAUGAUAACAAAGUUGCAUUAUGUAUUCACAAUUAAAAUAAACUCAGGGUUUAAAUUCUUUAAUUCACUGCUUGUUUCUGUUUAAAAUGUCUUAUAUGCAAUAAAUAAUAAAGCAUAUACAACAGUG